UUACUUCAACAGUAUGUUUUCUAAAACUGGAACAAUACAGAGGUGGUUGCUGUGGCCCCUGUGUAAGAAUGACACACAGAAGCAGAAAAAUUACCAACUACUUU
ensembl:snRNA LOC120097662 U6 spliceosomal RNA